rnacentral:tRNA from 1 species
GCCUGGGCAGCUCAGUCAGAUGAGCAUCCGACUUCAGCUCAGGUCAUGAUCUCGCGGUUUGUGGGUUCGAGUCCCACGUCGGGCU